CCCUAUGGGGUGCACCAGGACUGGAGAAAAGUUUUGAGCUCUUUUACCGCAGGCGCAGGCAUGGUGGAUAUUAUGGCGGUUAACCAUGUCCUUGAGCAUAUAAAAGGCGAUCCGUUAUCUCAUAUGCGCAAUUGGAUUGAGGCUGUCCGUUAUGCUUUGGUGGUGUCUGUUCCUCUUGAACGUUCCAGCAGGCAUAGCUUAAGCCCUUAUCAUCAGCGGGUAAUCACUGUAGAUGAGCUUAGGCAUUACGGAAAAGAAAUUGCCAGAAUGGGCAGAAAUUUACAGAUCAAUGCCUUAGGGAUAAAUUCAGGUAUACUCAUAAUAACGAGGAAGUCUUCUUCACCGCUGACGCUCGCCGAUAGCCUUUCCGGCGGCAAUUACUAUAAUUACGAUUCUUUCAUGGCGGGAGGGC
rnacentral:rRNA from 1 species